UGGGGAAUUUUGCACAAUGGGGGAAACCCUGAUGCAGCGACGCCGCGUGAUUUAGAAGGCCUUCGGGUUGUAAAAAUCUUUUUUAUGGGAUGAAAAUGACAGUACCAUAAGAAUAAGGUCCGGCUAAAUACGUGCCAGCAGCCGCGGUAAUACGUAUGGACCGAGCGUUGUCCGGAAUCAUUGGGCGUAAAGGGUACGUAGGCGGCCCAGUAAGUUAGAAGUGAAAUAAUAUAGCUCAACUAUAUAAAGCUUUUAAAACUGCUAGGCUUGAGAGAUGGAAGGGAAAGUGGAAUUCCUAGUGUAGCGGUGAAAUGCGCAGAUAUUAGGAGGAAUACCGGUGGCGAAGGCGACUUUCUGGACUUUUACUGACGCUCAGGUACGAAAGCGUGGGGAGCAAACAGG
rnacentral:rRNA from 1 species